rnacentral:tRNA from 1 species
GGAGACGUGGCCGAGUGGCUUAAGGCAGCGGUCUUGAAAACCGCCGAGGGAGGAAUCCCUCCGUGAGUUCGAAUCUCACCGUCUCCGCCA